AUGCGGCCAGACGGGAAAUUGCCGCCGCCACAUCCAUCGUUGGCCCCGCUGCCGCAACGGCCGCAGCAAGCGACGGGAACAGACAUGGACCCGCACGCCAGGCUGCCGGACCCGGUGCCGUCGCCGAUACUGAAGCACUCGCCGUCGAUAUCGCGCUCGCUGCGGUCGGCGGCAGACACGUCGUCCGUCACCUUCGCGGCCGACUUCCGGUCGCCCUCCAAGCCGGAAUCCACCUCGCCGUCCUUCGACAGCUUCCGGACGGCCCGGUCGAGGCCGUCCAGCGUCUCGCGGUCGUCCACCAGGCGAUCCGCGUCCGAGCGUGCCGGCUCGCAGCGGGACCUCCGCGACGAGGACGCGCGAUUCGUCUACAUCAACGACGCGCCGCGCACCAACGCGCCGCCGGCCAUGUUCCCGGACAACUCCAUCCGCACCUCCAAGUACUCCGUCCUCACCUUCAUCCCGCGCAACCUCUACGAGCAGUUCCACAGGGUGGCCUACAUCUACUUCCUCAUCCUGGCGGUGCUCAACUUCGUGCCGCAACUCCUCGUGCUGUCCAAGGAAGCGGGCGUUCUGCCGCUGGCCUUCGUGCUCGGCGUCACGGCAGUGAAGGACGCGUACGAGGACUGGAGGCGGCACCGGUCAGACAAGAAUGAGAACAACCGCACGGCGUCUGUGCUCGCGGACGGCGUGUUCCGGCCGAAGCGGUGGAAGGACAUUCAGGUCGGCGACGUGGUGCGUCUCGUGGCUAACGAGACGCUGCCGUGCGACAUGGUUCUUGUGUCCACGAGCGACCCCACCGGCGUGGCCUACAUCCAGACCAUCAACCUCGACGGCGAGUCCAACCUCAAGACGCGCUACGCCAAGCAGGAAACCAUGUCCACGCCGCCGGAGGCGCUCGCCGGUGUCAUCAAGUGCGAGAAACCCAACCGCAACAUCUACGGCUUCCUCGCCACCGUGGACCUCAACGGCCGCCGCGCCAUCUCCCUCGGCACCUCCAACGUCAUGCUCCGCGGCUGCGAGCUCAAGAAUACGGUCUGGGCCAUCGGGGUGGCGGUGUACACCGGCCGGGACACCAAGGUCGUGCUCAACAGCUCGGGUGCGCCAUCCAAGCGCAGCCGCCUCGAGACGCACAUGAACCGCGAAAUCAUCGCGCUCGCCGUGGCUCUGGUCGUCCUCUGCUCGGUGGUGUCUCUCCUCGCCGGCAUCUGGAUGGGUGACCAUGUCGAUCAGCUCGGCAUCAUCCCCUUUUUCCACAAAUACGACUACUCGGGGGCUGCUGCGCACGACGACGGGAGGUACAACUGGUACGGCACGGGCGCGCAGGUGGUGUUCACGUUCAUGUCGGCGGUGAUCCAGUUCCAGGUGAUGAUCCCCAUCGGGCUCAUCAUAUCCAUGGAGCUCAUCAGGGUGGGGCAGGCAUACUUCAUGGUGCAGGACAACCGCAUGUUCGACGAGAAGAGCCAGGCCAGGUUCCAAUGCCGGGCGCUCAACAUCAACGAGGACCUGGGGCAGAUCAAGUACGUCUUCUCCGACAAGACCGGCACGCUCACGCAGAAUCGGAUGGAGUUCCGCUGCGCCAGCGUGCAAGGCCGCGACUUCAGCGAGACCGACGGCGGCGAGGAGGACGGACAUGCCGUGCAAGCGGACGGCGUGGUUCUGAGACCCAAGACGGCGGUGACGACGGACCCGAAGCUGGCGGCGCUGCUCAAGGACGGGAUGGGCGCCAAGGCCAGCCGCGCCCGCGACCUGUUCCUGGCGCUGGCGACCUGCAACACCAUCGUGCCCAUCGUCGAGGACACCGUGAACCCGGCGGCGAAGCUGGUGGAGUACCAGGGCGAGUCCCCCGACGAGCAGGCGCUGGUGUACGCCGCCGCGGCGUACGGGCACAAGCUCGUCGAGCGCACCUCCGGCCACAUCGUCGUCGACGUGUUCGGCACCAGGCAAAGGUACGAGCUCACCACCCCGCCCGUUUACUGCAAAAUUUUUGCUUCUCAAUUUCUCACAGCAUGGCAGCCGUUGGUGAAAUUGUUCUGUUUUGUUAGGAUUUCACUGCAUUGUUUGUGGUUGAAAUUUCUGUUUGUUUGUUGCCAUAACGAUAAAUAUGCGAGGUUGUGUUGCGAUCGACAUUGA
rnacentral:rRNA from 1 species